rnacentral:rRNA from 1 species
UACGUAGGGGGCGAGCGUUGUCCGGAUUUAUUGGGCGUAAAGAGCGUGUAGGCGGCCAGGUAGGUCUGCUGUGAAAACUCGAGGCUCAACCUCGAGACGUCGGCGGAAACCAUCUGGCUAGAGUCCGGAAGAGGAGAGUGGAAUUCCUGGUGUAGCGGUGAAAUGCGCAGAUAUCAGGAGGAACACCAACGGCGAAGGCAGCCCGCUGGGACGGUACUGACGCUGAGGCGCGAAAGCGUGGGGAGCGAACAGG